rnacentral:lncRNA from 1 species
AAAUAUCAAUUGUUUUCCAUAAAAUAGACUUUAUUUUUGCAUUUGACAUUUAGUUCAUACAUGUUUCUUUGUUUUACUUUUUAGGCUCAACUUUCCUGCAUAACUAAGAAUUUGCAACUUGGAUAAUGACAAGAAACAUCUGCACUGAAAUCAGUUGUUUGGGAAAGAGUCUCUCCCAAAAUAACCAAAGAGCUUGUUAUUUGUUAGAAGAAUUAUAGAGUGGAGUUCCUUGGGAGUAACCUGGGACAUGAGAGUCUCAAAACCAGAAUCUACUAGUGAUCAGUUUGGAUCUACAGGUAAAUCCCGUAUAAUGAGUUGCUGGCACCAUUUUUCAAAUCUGAUAUCUACCUUUGGCCAUUUUCAAUGCAAGAACUGA